rnacentral:sRNA from 2 species
CUUAUACUCUAUAAAAAUACCAAUCGUCAGAAACUGAUCAUAAUAAGAAAUCCAGGAAAUAAAUCAGUUCAUGCUAUCUACAUCCUUCUCCUAUCAACACCUUCUCUCACCUAGGGCAUCAGAUGCUAGCCGACGACGCAGGCAGCGAUUCCGUUUGGGGUAAUUCGAAUCCUCAACUAUGCUAUCGCUCUUUGGGCAAGGCUCAUUUCUUUAUAUAGCAAACUAUCGAGUUAUAGGCAAUUUGCAUUCCGCCGGAGAGCAACGUCGAUCUUGACAUCAGCAACGGCCAAGGGCUCCCCGACAUUCCUCCCUUCCUUCUUUCUACCAUACCUACAUUGGCCACAUGCAGCUAAUGGAAAAACACUUGCUUUGACAAGGUGUUAACCGUAAUUCGAAAGGGUGGUGUGUUUAACAGUUUGCUUUGUAUCACUACAUUCCCGGGAAACAAUACUCGAGCUGAUCCAAGAGGCUUCCCUGGGCGGAUGCCGGAUAGCCUUAGUUGGCUUGAAAGCAUACUGUACUCAGCAACAGCUUGAUUAUCCAAAUAACAUUACAGCCAACUUAAUGCCUCUAAAGAGAAGGGACCACCAAUUUUACUUAUGCAAACUAAUUCCAUUGGAGGGGGCAGAUUACUUUUUAGCACUGAAAUACCCCAUUCAUGUGACCCUAUGUCAUAUUUGCAUCACUCCCAGGAGGGCUCAGACAAGUGGUCUCCCAAGGUUAAUUUCAUAGUUUGAGGCCUGAGCGCUUGUACUGUACAAGUUUGCGAGUAAGGCGGAGAAAACUUAUCCAUGAAUCUUCUCUGAGACCCCUCUGUUGAUCUACCAACAAGUUGGCCACGAACAGCAAUCCAUGCGCAGCAUGGAUUACUGUGUACUUCCCAGAGAAAGUGUAUAGAUUCUGAUUGACGGGGAAAAUCUACUGUAUUUUUGAUGGUGGCCGAACAGGAUACGUUGGUGUUGUUAACCUCUUAUCUAUUAUCUUGCAUCUGGAUCGCUUUAACUGCUGCGGGAACGUUAUUCGUUUCCUGAUUCUUCAAUAGGUUGUUACUUGUUGACGGUGAGAAACGUGAAUCAGCCUUUUAUGUUCUAUGGGCCAAUAAUCAUACGAGGAAAGCCAACCUGUUAUUCUUACAUUCUGAGAACUUGGGAUGGACUUGACAGGCAUCAACCAAGAUCCAUCCAUGCAUCAUGUUAAACGAGUGCCUGUCGACAUGCCAAACCACACUUCGACCAACCGAAUAGCAUCAACGCCUUGCCACUUCCACCGAGAAAACUGGGUAGGGCGGUGUUCAUUUGGGACUUUCCCCGUGUACGAAUGUGAUCUUUUUAUUUUGGCAUAUUAUCAGCGG